rnacentral:rRNA from 1 species
UACGUAGGGGGCUAGCGUUGUCCGGAUUUAUUGGGCGUAAAGAGCGUGUAGGCGGCCAGGUAGGUCUGGUGUGAAAACUCGAGGCUUAACCUCGAGAUGUCAUCGGAAACCAUCUGGCUAGAGUCCGGAAGAGGAGAGUGGAAUUCCUGGUGUAGCGGUGAAAUGCGCAGAUAUCAGGAAGAACACCAAUGGCGAAGGCGAGUCCCUGGACAACACCUGACACUGAGGCACGAAAGCUAGGGGAGCAAACAGG